rnacentral:pre_miRNA from 1 species
CACGGGUCACGGGGAAUGCGCAUGCGCAAAUGACAUCUGUGGAUUUCCCAUGAUCCGUAAC